rnacentral:rRNA from 1 species
UACGGAGGUGGCAAGCGUUGUUCGGAAUUACUGGGCGUAAAGGGCGCGCAGGCGGCAUGGCAAGUCAGAUGUGAAAGCCCCGGGCUUAACCUGGGAAUUGCAUCUGAAACUGUUGUGCUUGAGUUCUGGAGGGGGUAGUGGAAUUCCCAGUGUAGCGGUGAAAUGCGUAGAUAUUGGGAGGAACACCUGCGGCGAAGGCGGCUACCUGGACAGAUACUGACGCUGAGGCGCGAAAGCGUGGGGAUCGAACAGGAUUAGAUA